AACAGAUAAGUAUUAUUGGUUGUACAUUGGGUUCAUAAUCCAAAAGUGUUGGUUCAAUUCCAACAUCUGUUU
rnacentral:tRNA from 1 species